rnacentral:rRNA from 1 species
UACGAAGGGGGCUAGCGUUGCUCGGAAUUACUGGGCGUAAAGGGAGCGUAGGCGGACAUUUAAGUCAGGGGUGAAAUCCCGAGGCUCAACCUCGGAACUGCCUUUGAUACUGGGUGUCUUGAGUAUGAGAGAGGUAUGUGGAACUCCGAGUGUAGAGGUGAAAUUCGUAGAUAUUCGGAAGAACACCAGUGGCGAAGGCGACAUACUGGCUCAUUACUGACGCUGAGGCUCGAAAGCGUGGGGAGCGAACAGG